GACGAACGCUGGCGGCGUGCCUAAUACAUGCAAGUGGGACGCAAGGGAACACACUGUGCUUGCACACCGUGUUUUCUUGAGUCGCGAACGGGUGAGUAACGCGUAGGUAACCUGCCUAUUAGCGGGGGAUAACUAUUGGAAACGAUAGCUAAUACCGCAUAAUAUUAAUUAUUGCAUGAUAAUUGAUUGAAAGAUGCAAGCGCAUCACUAGUAGAUGGACCUGCGUUGUAUUAGCUAGUUGGUAAGGUAAGAGCUUACCAAGGCGACGAUACAUAGCCGACCUGAGAGGGUGAUCGGCCACACUGGGACUGAGACACGGCCCAGACUCCUACGGGAGGCAGCAGUAGGGAAUCUUCGGCAAUGGACGAAAGUCUGACCGAGCAACGCCGCGUGAGUGAAGAAGGUUUUCGGAUCGUAAAGCUCUGUUGUAAGUCAAGAACGUGUGUGAGAGUGGAAAU
rnacentral:rRNA from 1 species